rnacentral:tRNA from 1 species
GCCCUGGUGGUGGAAUUGGUAGACACGCUGGGUUCAGGGUCCAGUGGCCGCAAGGCUGUGCGAGUUCGAGUCUCGCCUAGGGCACCA